UUUUUUGCUGGAGAAGAACUUCCUUUGAUUUAUCCUUCGUUCCUUUCGCUCGUCUUUUUAGUUCGGUUCGGAGAUAACGAUAAUAUUGUGGCAGUGCCUAUGUUACUGUUUUAAAAUAAAAUAAAGAGAAAGUAUUUGUUCAGUUAAGUUUGUUGGUGUUGGUGGUUUCAAAUUUAGUAAUAGUAUUUGGGAAAGGAGUUGAAACCGAAGAGCGUGAGAUCCGAUUCAUGUUCUUAAUUACACGUUGACUUGCCGUUUUUAUUCGUCAAAUUCAAUCUGAUGCAUAUUCGGACCCAAAGACAUAGCGCUCUUUCUCCAUCCAAAUCUCGCAUUCCCAGUUUCAAACAUUCUCAAAUCAUGAAGACAACACAGAUUUUCGGUGUGUCUAUCUCGCUCAUUCUUAUCAACCUGGCCGCUAUCAUGGAGAAAGCCGAUGAAAAUCUUCUUCCAUCUGUCUACAAGGAAGUUAGCGAAGCAUUUAAUGCCGGACCAUCUGAUUUGGGUUACCUCACAUUCAUAAGGAACUUUGUUCAAGGACUAUCAUCCCCCUUGGCUGGAAUGCUUGUUCUAAACUAUGAUCGCCCUGUAAUUCUUGCAAUGGGAACUUUUUGCUGGGCUUUAUCUACAGCAGCUGUUGCCGCUUGCCACGAUUUUAUGCAGGUUGCAUUCUGGAGAGCUAUAAAUGGCUUUGGUUUGGCAAUAGUGAUUCCAGCACUACAGUCUUUCAUUGCUGAUAGCUACAAGGAUGGUGUGAGGGGAACUGGAUUUGGAUUAUUAAGCCUUAUUGGUAACUUAGGAGGCAUAGGAGGCGGUGUUUUGGCCACAGUCAUGGCUGGGAAGCAGUUUUGGGGGAUACAAGGGUGGCGAUGUGCUUUUGUUUUGAUGGCAACCUUGAGUGCAUUAAUUGGACUCCUUGUUUUGCUUUAUGUGGUUGAUCCAAGAAAAAGAUCUACCACCAUUCAUGAUGCUACUGACAGUUUAGAUAGGGAUGAAGGUAUCUAUAAAGGCAAUGCAAGUGCAGCAUCAAUAUGGAUGGACUCUUGGGCUGCCACAAAAGCUGUGAUCAAAGUGCAAACUUUUCAAAUCAUUGUGUUACAGGGCAUUAUUGGGUCGCUACCAUGGACUGCCAUGGUGUUCUUCACAAUGUGGUUCGAACUAAUUGGGUUUGAUAAUAACAGUUCAGCAACACUCCUCAGCCUUUUUGCUAUUGGAUGUGCAAUGGGGUCCUUCAUGGGUGGAUCAAUAGCUGAUCAACUGUCACAAGUGUACCCUCAUUCUGGUCGAAUCAUGUGUGCGCAGUUCAGCGCCUUUAUGGGCAUUCCAUUCUCAUGGUUUCUCCUUAAGGUGAUCCCUCAGUCUGUAAGUAGUUACCUCACCUUUUCUGUCACCCUCUUUCUGAUGGGUCUAACUAUAAGCUGGAAUGGUUCGGCUGCAAAUGCCCCCAUGUUUGCUGAGGUAGUCCCUGUCAAUCAUAGGACCAUGAUUUAUGCAUUUGAUCGAGCUUUCGAAGGCUCGUUUUCCUCGGUUGCGGCUCCCCUGGUUGGAAUUCUAUCUGAGAAAAUAUUUGGCUACAAUGCAAAGUCUGUUGAUCCUAUCAAAGGAUCUUCACCGGAGGCUCUGGCUUUGUCCAAGGGUCUUCUUUCAAUGAUGGCAAUUCCAUUUGGAUUGUGCUGUUUGUGCUACACACCCCUCUACUACAUAUUCAAGCGGGACCGCGAAAAUGCUAGAAUGGUCGCUUCGAAAGAGCAGGAGAUGAUGAUUUGAGAGUCAACUGGCUGUAUAGUUAAGAUUGGUUGAUCAUGUGAAACUGUCCACUGUUUUUGAGACUUGCGGUGUCUCAAUUGGAGUUUAAAUCAACGUCCAGGUUGACAAUACAUUUGGAGGCUUCCUACUGAUGAAGAAACUCCUUCACUCUUGACAUGACAAAUCUGGCUGGGAGGAUCAGAAAUUUGUUCCGGCGCUUAUAAUAUUCUUGAGAUGGCAAUUAUGGCUUGAACUGAUUAGAAAUUUUCAAUAGGUUCUUUAGCUAACACCAUACCGAAUUGAGGAUAUGUAACUUGUGGUAACUGUUAAUUGAUAAUAUCAUUUUGUUAUCCUCCUCUGUUUUUGCACUCUAUAAAUAAUUAUACUUGUUAUGUUUGGGACACUGCUGAAAUUAAUAACUUCACUCGGCCUAUCGACAAAGAUCUAAAAAAGAAAUUUCAUUGUAUUCAGCUUAAUAGCUGCAUGAUUUUAGGGAAUUUCUCAUCUAUUCACCUUGUUUACGUAUUAAACAUACUUCACAUUUCACACCUAUAAAAGGCUUCUGAGCCCUUUCGGGAUAUGCUACGCAGUUGGAGAGAUAA